AAGCCAUGAUGUGGACAUUGUCUUUGAAGAUCCUUAAACCUCUCCUAAGUUUGAUAUAAUGUUUCAUCUUCCCUCAACCUAAAGAUAGUAAUAUCAUUCCUUAGCUU